rnacentral:rRNA from 1 species
UAGGGAAUCUUCGGCAAUGGACGAAAGUCUGACCGAGCAACGCCGCGUGAGUGAAGAAGGUUUUCGGAUCGUAAAACUCUGUUGGUAGAGAAGAACGUUGGUGAGAGUGGAAAGCUCAUCAAGUGACGGUAACUACCCAGAAAGUCACGGCUAACUACGUGCCAG